rnacentral:rRNA from 1 species
AACGAACGCUGGCGGCAGGCCUAACACAUGCAAGUCGAACGCCGUAGCAAUACGGAGUGGCAGACGGGUGAGUAACACGUGGGAACGUACCCUUCGGUUCGGGAUAACUCAGGGAAACUUGAGCUAAUACCGGAUACGUCCGAGAGGAGAAAGAUUUAUCGCCGAGGGAUCGGCCCGCGUCUGAUUAGCUUGUUGGUGAGGUAACGGCUCACCAAGGCGACGAUCAGUAGCUGGUCNGAGAGGAUGAUCAGCCACAUUGGGACUGAGACACGGCCCAAACUCCUACGGGAGGCAGCAGUGGGGAAUAUUGGACAAUGGGCGCAAGCCUGAUCCAGCCAUGCCGCGUGAGUGAUGAAGGCCCUAGGGUUGUAAAGCUCUUUUACCCGGGAAGAUAAUGACUGUACCGGGAGAAUAAGCCCCGGCUAACUUCGUGCCAGCCGCCGCCGUAAG